CAAAAAAAUCUGAUCACAAAUGUGGUCAGAUUUUUUUGUUUGGAAGAUCA
rnacentral:sRNA from 1 species